GACAAGAUGACCCGCCAGUGGCAGCGGCACCCUCAGCACUGGAUUGGACUCAAUUGUUUGUUGGACUCUGGAGGAGGCCUACCACAUGGUCACCCCCACCACGUCACGGGGCACGCUCUGGAGAGCACACAGCACCCACCACUCACCACUGGAUUCCCUCGACACAACUUCCCUUUUUUUUUGCCACCAGCACAUUUUAUUGUAUUUAUUUCACGCAUUAAAUCAUUUACUUUUA